rnacentral:rRNA from 1 species
UACAGAGGUGCCAAGCGUUAGGCGGAAUCACUGGGCUUAAAGCGCGUGUAGGUGGGUCGUUAAGUGUCCGCGUGAAAUCCCACGGCUCAACCGUGGAACUGCCGGGCAUACUGGCGAUCUUGAGGCAUUCAGGGGCGAGCGGAACAAAUGGUGGAGCGGUGAAAUGCGUAGAUAUCAUUUGGAACGCCCACGGUGAAAACAGCUGGCUGGGGAAGUGCUGACGCUGAGACACGAAAGCCAGGGGAGCGAACGGG